CUGCAGGAGGUGAUGGUAAUGAGGGGUUUGGUUUUGUCGUUUUCUAAUCCAGCUCUUCUUCCUCAUCCUGGUGAACAGGCAGCUAGUCCAUGGAAAUCUUCCCACACUGGCUCUCACACAGGAUCUGAGUCUUUUACUGUUACCCAAGGUUGCUAUUGUGCUCUUAGACUGAUCUAGAGAAGGAAGUGACAGAAGGAAGUUUUCACGCUUCGUAGAUUUCUGUAACAUGUCUUCUGAAAGUUAUUUGCAUCAUGAAGAACCUGGCACACGCCUGCCACAGCCCUGCAAUUAGGAGCUUGAAGUUACAGAGUAAGGCAGCGGGCGGAGGAGGAGGAGGAGGAAGGGUCACGUCCACUCUCGACGUGGCUAAUUUAGCCAGAGGUCAGGCAAUAUCACGGCAGGAGGAGCCCCCUGUGUGUAGCUGACGCUGUUGGGAAACUGCGGCUAGCGGCGCGAGAGAGUGGGAUACCCGACCCUAGAGCUACCUGACGCAGCCUGAAAGAGAGAGAGAAAGAGAGUGGGGGAGUGAUAGACGCUGAAAAAGAGCCAGAAACGACUCAAGCAUCUCAUUUAUUGGAAGGUACUGUGACGCUGCGUUUCUUUACCGUAUAUCUUGCCUCGCAGGGGCUAUAGCGGCAGUGUUCCCAACAUCGAAAAGACUAGAAAACUGCAAUUAUAGGCUGUGAGUUGAUGUUCAUAUCACUGCGUGCCAACAUAGCAGCCUAACUAGUUCACGAGUUCACUUACUGAGCCAAGUUUUGGUGUUAGUGAUUUGUAAUCCAAAAAUUCAUUCAUUCAACUAUGAUUAUUUUGCAUGAGUUUAUACUGUGCUGUAUACUAAUGUAUUCGGGAGUUUAAAAAAAUCCACAUAAG
rnacentral:lncRNA from 1 species